GUGGGCCGCAGAGACGUUGGAGCCGGCGGGGGCUGGGGACUGGCCUCGGGGCGACUUGAGAGGCGUCUGGGCAGUGGAGGCCCUUCCUGCUGGAGUCUCCGCAGGGCUCUGAUGGUGUCCCUGGCCAGUGUCCUUCCACCUGUCCACAAGCAUGGGGAACAUCUUCGCCAACCUCUUCAAGGGCCUUUUUGGCAAAAAAGAAAUGCGCAUCCUCAUGGUGGGCCUGGAUGCUGCAGGGAAGACCACGAUCCUCUACAAGCUUAAGCUGGGUGAGAUCGUGACCACCAUUCCCACCAUAGGUGAGGUGGGGGCCAGCAGGGAGUGGGCUGGGCUGGCCUGGGCCAAGGUACAAGGCCUCACCCUGCAUCCCGCACCCAGGCUUCAACGUGGAAACCGUGGAGUACAAGAACAUCAGCUUCACUGUGUGGGACGUGGGUGGCCAGGACAAGAUCCGGCCCCUGUGGCGCCACUACUUCCAGAACACACAAGGCCUGAUCUUCGUGGUGGACAGCAAUGACAGAGAGCGUGUGAACGAGGCCCGUGAGGAGCUCAUGAGGAUGCUGGCCGAGGACGAGCUCCGGGAUGCUGUCCUCCUGGUGUUCGCCAACAAGCAGGACCUCCCCAACGCCAUGAAUGCGGCUGAGAUCACAGACAAGC
rnacentral:sRNA from 1 species